AAGCGCUAAUCCAAAUAAAAAAAAAAAAACGAAGAUAAAAUACUCUAAAGGGUAAUAGGCCGGAUAUCGCCCUUUUCUAUCUCCGCCGUUCUCCUCUCAGAGUCUCAUGAAGCUCCGUCUCCGUCUCUGAGAGCAUCUACCAUCUUUGAAGCUCUCGUCUAUCUCAAUGAGACAAGGAGAUGUCGAUACCAGGUCAAUUCAAUCUUUUCUGUCGCUGCACUACCAAUUGCUCUCUUAUUCUGGGUUCGAAAAGGGUCUAUGCUACCAUAUUUUGGUUCCACGUUUCAAGUUGGGGUCUCAACUUCCACUAGAUGCUGCAAAGAGAAAUGCAGGACAAUUUCCCUCAUAUAUGGGUUGGAGUGGUGGCUACUUGAGAGGGUGAUCUUGCUGCCAUGUAUGUUUUAAGAUUUGACUUGCCACCUCCACCUCCACCUCCAAGUUUAACGUGGCUACUUGAGAGGUGAUCUUGCUGCCAUAUACCAUACAAGCUGGGAUUUGUUAAGUUGUGGCCUUAGACAAUGAUUAAGUCUUGUAGAUAAGGGGAGCUUGCACCAGAAGGAGCUCAUUAUUUGACAACAGGGGAGCUCGUUAGUCUCAGUGAGUAGCAACUUGUGGACUGUGAUCAUGAGGAAGUGAGAGGCUUGUCUUGUUAAGCUUUCUUGAAUAAUAGCUAAAGCUGCUGGUAUAUGUUUUUGCCUUUGAAAGAUAGGUUUGGAUCUUUUCCUUCAAGUCUGUCAAAAUAAUGAACUACCAAGAGAGUUUUGUACUGUAAACCAUAUGUAAACCAUGUUUGCUGCAAUAUAAGUUUCUUCUGUUCCAAAAUCUUUUG